CAGAAGGGGAUAACACUUGGAAACAGGUGCUAAUACCGUAUAACACUAUUUUCCGCAUGGAAGAAAGUUGAAAGGCGCUUUUGCGUCACUGAUGGAUGGACCCGCGGUGCAUUAGCUAGUUGGUGAGGUAACGGCUCACCAAGGCCACGAUGCAUAGCCGACCUGAGAGGGUGAUCGGCCACACUGGGACUGAGACACGGCCCAGACUCCUACGGGAGGCAGCAGUAGGGAAUCUUCGGCAAUGGACGAAAGUCUGACCGAGCAACGCCGCGUGAGUGAAGAAGGUUUUCGGAUCGUAAAACUCUGUUGUUAGAGAAGAACAAGGAUGAGAGUAAAAUGUUCAUCCCUUGACGGUAUCUAACCAGAAAGCCACGGCUAACUACGUGCCAGCAGCCGCGGUAAUACGUAGGUGGCAAGCGUUGUCCGGAUUUAUUGGGCGUAAAGCGAGCGCAGGCGGUUUCUUAAGUCUGAUGUGAAAGCCCCCGGCUCAACCGGGGAGGGUCAUUGGAAACUGGGAGACUUGAGUGCAGAAGAGGAGAGUGGAAUUCCAUGUGUAGCGGUGGAAUGCGUAGAUAUAUGGAGGAACACCAGUGGCGAAGGCGGCUCUCUGGUCUGUAACUGACGCUGAGGCUCGAAAGCGUGGGGAGCGAACAGGAUUAGAUACCCUGGUAGUCCACGCCGUAAACGAUGAGUACUAAGUGUUGGAGGGUUUCCGCCCUUCAGUGCUGCAG
rnacentral:rRNA from 1 species